CCUACGGGUGGCAGCAGUGGGGAAUAUUGCACAAUGGGGGAAACCCUGAUGCAGCGACGCCGCGUGAGUGAAGAAGUAUUUCGGUACGUAAAGCUCUAUCAGCAGGGAAGAAAAUGACGGUACCUGACUAAGAAGCCCCGGCUAACUACGUGCCAGCAGCCGCGGUAAUACGUAGGGGGCAAGCGUUAUCCGGAUUUACUGGGGGUAAAGGGAGCGUAGACGGCAGCGCAAGUCUGGAGUGAAAUCCCAUGGCUUAACCAUGGAACUGCUGUGGAAACUGUGCAGCUAGAGUGCAGGAGAGGUAAGCGGAAUGCGUAGUGUAGCGGUGAAAUGCGUAGAUAUUAGGAGGAACACCAGUGGCGAAGGCGGCUUACUGGACUGUAACUGACGUUGAGGCUCGAAAGCGUGGGGAGCAAACAGGAUUAGAUACCCUUGUAGUC
rnacentral:rRNA from 1 species